rnacentral:lncRNA from 1 species
AUUAAAUAGAGCUGAUAUCUUACUCCGCUCCCUACUCCCACUGGACCUCACAACCAUUGGAUACACUCCUUCCCCACAGGGAUACACCUCCCAGGACACAGUAGUGGAGGCACAUAACGGAGUGAUUAACAGGGGUGAUCCCCCUUACGCUGGGUGACCCCCAAGCGUGGCAGACACCUCUCCAAAGUGACAUUGUGGUACAGGGGUGACCCCCCUUACGCUGGGUGACCCCCAAGCGAAUCUGGUUCCUGUCCUAGUGACAUACAUAUACUGGGGUGUUCCCCCUACUCUGGGUGAACCCCAAGCGAAUAUUAUUCCGGUACUAGUGACAUACAUAUACUGGGGGAACCCCCACGCCCUAGGGCGGGCUCAUUUCCACGGAGUACGAUCUGUUACUGUAUGCACAGACCGGGUCACACUGAAUACAUGUAUAUCGAC